CCUACGGGAGGCUGCAGUGAGGAAUAUUGGUCAAUGGACGAAAGUCUGAACCAGCCAAGUCGCGUGAAGGAAGAUGGCCCUAUGGGUUGUAAACUUCUUUUAUAUGGGAAUAAAAUGUUCCACGUGUGGGAUUUUGUAUGUACCAUAUGAAUAAGGAUCGGCUAACUCCGUGCCAGCAGCCGCGGUAAUACGGAGGAUCGGAGCGUUAUCCGGAUUUAUUGGGUUUAAAGGGAGCGUAGGUGGUUUUUUAAGUCAGUUGUGAAAGUUUGCGGCCCAACCGUAAAAGUGCAGUUGAAACUGGCAGUCUUGAGUACAGUAGAGGUGGGCGGAAGGCGUGGUGUAGCGGUGAAAUGCUUAGAUAUAACGAAGAACUCCGAUUGCGAAGGCAGCUCACUGGGCCGCAACUGACACUGAGGCUCGAAAGUGUGGGUAUCAAACAGGAUUAGAUACCCGAGUAGUC
rnacentral:rRNA from 1 species